AAUUGUGUGGUGAGCACAUAGCUAACUAUUCUUUCGCCUUUUAGUAAAGAAUACCUUGUUCUCGCCGCAAUACAAGCAGCAUACGCCUCUUUUUGGAGGGUUAUUUUUCUCUUAGGAAAUU
rnacentral:snRNA from 1 species